rnacentral:ribozyme from 13 species
ACAGAAAGAAAAGAAAAGGAUAUCAUACAGCCAAAUCCUAAGUUUCUCUAUGGCUACUCUCAACCAAUCUCGCUGUUUUGUUUUUUGUUUUUAACAACACCAUUUACUUACAUUCACUUCGCUCUAUUAUUUCAAUGUCAAUGGGAAGGAG